rnacentral:tRNA from 1 species
GGUGGCUCAGAGGUAGAGUGCUUGCCUUGCAUGCAUGAGGCCCUAGGUUCAAUUCCUCAGCACCA